rnacentral:rRNA from 1 species
ACGGUUACCUUGUUACGACUUCACCCCAGUUAUCAGACCUGCCUUCGACAGCUCCCUCCUUUCAGUUGGGUCACUGGCUUCGGGCAUUUCCGACUCCCAUGGUGUGACGGGCGGUGUGUACAAGACCCGGGAACGUAUUCACCGCGGCAUUCUGAUCCGCGAUUACUAGCGAUUCCAGCUUCAUGUAGUCGAGUUGCAGACUACAAUCCGAACUGAGACGUUAUUUUUGAGAUUUGCUUACCCUCGCGGGCUCGCUUCCCUUUGUUUACGCCAUUGUAGCACGUGUGUAGCCCAAAUCAUAAGGGGCAUGAUGAUUUGACGUCAUCCCCACCUUCCUCCAGGUUAUCCCUGGCAGUCUCCUCAGAGUUCCCCGCCUCGCCGCUGGCUACUGAGGAUAAGGGUUGCGCUCGUUGCGGGACUUAACCCAACAUCUCACGACACGAGCUGACGACAACCAUGCACCACCUGUCUCCAUCGCCCCGAAGGGAAGGGACCGUUACGUCCCCGUCGCUGGGAUGUCAAGACUUGGUAAG